UACGGAGGGAGCUAGCGUUAUUCGGAAUUACUGGGCGUAAAGCGCACGUAGGCGGCUUUGUAAGUUAGAGGUGAAAGCCUGGAGCUCAACUCCAGAAUUGCCUUUAAGACUGCAUCGCUUGAAUCCAGGAGAGGUGAGUGGAAUUCCGAGUGUAGAGGUGAAAUUCGUAGAUAUUCGGAAGAACACCAGUGGCGAAGGCGGCUCACUGGACUGGUAUUGACGCUGAGGUGCGAAAGCUAGGGGAGCAAACAGG
rnacentral:rRNA from 1 species